rnacentral:tRNA from 1 species
GUGCGUAUAGGUUAUUUUUAAACCGUGAGGCUGUUAACCUUAAGAAGAUUUUUGGUCUGCGGACG